rnacentral:rRNA from 1 species
CCUACGGGAGGCAGCAGUGAGGAAUAUUGGUCAAUGGGCGUAAGCCUGAACCAGCCAAGUCGCGUGAAGGAUGAAGGUUCUAUGGAUUGUAAACUUCUUUUAUAAGGGAAUAAAGUGUGGGACGUGUACCAUUUUGUAUGUACCUUAUGAAUAAGGAUCGGCUAACUCCGUGCCAGCAGCCGCGGUAAUACGGAGGAUCCGAGCGUUAUCCGGAUUUAUUGGGUUUAAAGGGUGCGUAGGCGGGUUUGUAAGUUAGCGGUGAAAGGUUGGGGCUCAACCCUGGAAGUGCCGUUGAAACUGGUGGACUUGAGAAUGCUUGAGGUAGGCGGAAUGCGUGGUGUAGCGGUGAAAUGCUUAGAUAUCACGCAGAACCCCGAUUGCGAAGGCAGCUUACCAAGCCAUAUCUGACGCUGAGGCACGAAAGCGUGGGGAUCAAACAGGAUUAGAUACCCGAGUAGUC